AGCGGAGGAAAAGAAACCAACAGGGAUUGCCUUAGUAGCGGCGAGUGAAGCGGCAAAAGCUCAAAUUUGAAAUCUGGCGCCUUCGGUGUCCGAGUUGUAAUUUGAAGAUUGUAACCUUGGGGUUGGCUCUUGUCUAUGUUUCUUGGAACAGGACGUCACAGAGGGUGAGAAUCCCGUGCGAUGAGAUGCCCAAUUCUAUGUAAGGUGCUUUCGAAGAGUCGAGUUGUUUGGGAAUGCAGCUCUAAGUGGGUGGUAAAUUCCAUCUAAAGCUAAAUAUUGGCGAGAGACCGAUAGCGAACAAGUACAGUGAUGGAAAGAUGAAAAGAACUUUGAAAAGAGAGUGAAAAAGUACGUGAAAUUGUUGAAAGGGAAGGGUUUGAGAUCAGACUCGAUAUUUUGUGAGCCUUGCCUUCGUGGCGGGGUGACCCGCAGCUUAUCGGGCCAGCAUCGGUUUGGGCGGUAGGAUAAUGGCGUAGGAAUGUGACUUUACUUCGGUGAAGUGUUAUAGCCUGCGUUGAUGCUGCCUGCCUAGACCGAGGACUGCGAUUUUAUCAAGGAUGCUGGCAUAAUGAUCCCAAACCGCCCGUC
rnacentral:rRNA from 1 species